UUGGUUUGAUGAUGAUCACUAUACCUUACCUACAUUGUUUGAAAAUCAUGAAAAACAAUAUUCUGAAGAAA